CACCGCUUCAAUAAAAGACAUGGGCAACAGAGGCAAGCUGCUGUUUUGCCUUGUGAGCUGCAGCCCUUUGCUCAUCCACUUAACUGCAUUCUUGUGGUCUGACUCUUCUUCACAUCUGGAACGACUCCAACAAGUGGCACCCAAACAGGGACUUGAAGGUGAUUCCAAAUUCUGGGUUCCCACAAAGAACAUCAAACUUCAAUAUGAACAACAAGAGGAAGUUUGUCACCCUGGGUCUGAAUGA
rnacentral:lncRNA from 1 species